UACGUAGGCAGCAAGCGUUGUUCGGAAUUACUGGGCGUAAAGGGCGCGUAGGCGGCCCGCUAAGUCGAACGUGAAAUCCCCGGGCUCAACCCGGGAACUGCGUCCGAUACUGGUGGGCUUGAAUCCGGGAGAGGGAUGCGGAAUUCCAGGUGUAGCGGUGAAAUGCGUAGAUAUCUGGAGGAACACCGGUGGCGAAGGCGGCAUCCUGGACCGGCAUUGACGCUGAGGCGCGAAAGCCAGGGGAGCAAACGGG
rnacentral:rRNA from 1 species